AGUGAACGCUGGCGGUAGGCCUAACACAUGCAAGUCGAACGGCAGCACAGUAAGAGCUUGCUCUUACGGGUGGCGAGUGGCGGACGGGUGAGGAAUACAUCGGAAUCUACUUUUUCGUGGGGGAUAACGUAGAGAAACUUACGCUAAUACCGCAUACGACCUACGGGUGAAAGCAGGGGAUCUUCGGACUUUGCGCGAUUGAAUGAGCCGAUGUCGGAUUAGCUAGUUGGCGGGGUAAAGGCCCACCAAGGCGACGAUCCGUAGCUGGUCUGAGAGGAUGAUCAGCCACACUGGAACUGAGACACGGUACAGACUCCUACGGGAAGCAGCAGUGGGGAAUAUUGGACGAUGGGCGCAAGCCUGAUCCAGCCAUACCGCGUGGAUGAAGAAGGCCUUCGGGUUGUAGAGCCCUUUUGUUGGGAAAGAAAAGCAGCAGGUUAAUACCCCGCUGUUCUGACGGUACCCAAAGAAUAAGCACCGGCUAACUUCGUG
rnacentral:rRNA from 1 species